AAAAAAUAAUGUCUUCUCACAAGCCUCCAACAUGUUGAAAAAGUCGAGACAUGUUCUAAUGAAACCAAAAGGGCCUUCCCACUCAAUAGUUCCAUCUGUAGUGACACUGCAUAAUGAAACCAAAAGGGCCUCCCCACACAUUGCAACAAUUCCAACAAAUUCAGUAGCUCUUGCUCGUGAACGAAGAUCCUCAUCAUUACUAAGCACCAAGAAACUUUUCAUCAACUCCAAAACCCUUUCAGCAUACGGAACGAAUGCCUGCUCUGCCGCAGAUGCCACCGAACCAAUCGCAGACUGCAAAAUGAUGCAAAUCAAUAAAUUUAAAACCAAACCAUUCACUGAAUAUAUAUAUAUAUACACACACACACAUAUAUAAAAUUAAUUUACUUUAAAUCUUUAGGUCAAAGAAGACCACCAUACCAUGCAUGUCUCCUGUAAAUUACGAGGGCUAUUAUGGAGGGCCCCCAGUAGUUUUCCCAUCAACGGAUCAAGGAAUGGAAGAAUUUCCUCACCCAUGUUGUCACAAAAUGCUGCCAAAGCAUAAUACGACUUCUCCUGCACAUAAAGAUUGUUUUAGUCAUUAUCAAAUACAUAUGAAUAAACUAUACCAAUCUUCUAAUUUCCUUCUACCAAACAUACCUUCACUUCGUCAGAUGCAUCCUCAAGGGCAUUCAAAAUGCAAGGAAGUACACUUUGAUAGUGGGAAACAAUUUCCGGCUGCAAAUGCUCUGCAAACUGACCCAAUGCAAAUGAUGCAGCCCCCCUAACCAUUUCCUCAGGAUCUCUCAGAGCGCCUAAGACAAUAUGAAGAACUGGAUCCAACUUAUCUUUUAUCAUCUCCAAACAACCCUCUGAAUUACACCUAAAGCGGUAACAGAUGCUUCCUGAUAUUUUGGAUUUGCAUUUUUACUGCUUAAAGAAGAAAAUUCAAAGAUAGGGUGGAAAACAUGCUUUGGUAUGUUCAAAGCCAUAGUAUCAAUAACUUCUGCAGCAGCUCGAUCUGGAGCAAGAUCAUCAUCCUUAUCUUCAUCAUUUGAUUCUGCAAGCAAUGGGCACAUAACUUGCAGAAUAGGGAUGACCAGCUUAUGCUUUUUGAGGGAAUUGGAUUUAUACUUUGCUAGCCAUGAAACUAUCUGAAUUGCCUGAAAAGCAACAAGAAGAACAAAUAUGAGGAGUAUUCACAAACAGAGAGCCUUUGUUUAUUACAAAGCAGAUAAGUUAACUUACAGGCAAGCUUAUUGGGACCCAACAGUUUACCGAUGGACCCAACUUUGUUUUUCAUUUUUUUCUUUUUUGCCACUUCACCUUUCCAUUUUUCACUCGUUUAAAAUUUAAAAAAGAAAAACUGAGAAGCACAAAAGCCACAGCAGCUCCACCUUCCGUCAGUGUCUGUAACAGCUGUGCUGCCGGAAAAUUGCCCCCUCCUCUCUCUCUCUCUCUCUUCAUUUCCCUCUUCUCUCCUACCCUCUCUGUAUGCAACUAUCAAAUCCGACCAGCCCGGCCCCCAGAUCGCGGGUCAAAACCCUAGGCUGCAACAACCCAAAAUCACAAUACAAUGCUACAGAUCCCCACAUACAACUGAUAGAGCUGACAGGAAUAAGCACCCCAAGCAACAGAGAGAGCACAAAAUCCAGUAAACUGGAUCUGCAAGAGCUGGUUAGCAUCAUAUGUGAGGGGCAGAGUUGCGCGGUUUGCAGAGAGAGGGGAAAGAGAGAGAAAGAGAAAUAGUAAGCGGGUGGGAGCUACUAUGGUUUUCAGUUGUCUCAGUAUUUCUUUUUUGUAUCUUGAAGGCCAAAAUAUAAAAAGGUCGUACCCAGUGCACAAGGCUCCCGCUUUACGCAGGGUCUGGGAGAGGUGAAGUGGCAAAAAAAUUGAGUCUCAAACAAGAACUGUUAGGUCCAGUCCCAAACUUAUCAGCCCAACCAAAGACUAGGAGCUCAUAGAGAAAAGGCGAGGAAACUUUUGACCGUAUAUACUAACCUGAUGACGUGUAUUAGAUUCUAAACUUUGAGUUGAAAAAACUUCAAAGAGAGAAUUGCACAAUGGAUUUAACAGAUUCACCAAGAAGAGGUGCUGGAGAUUCAAUCAACUCAUCAAAAAUUUCAAAAGCAAUAAUAGCAACAUCCUCCUCGCCAGCUGCAAGGCAUUGUCUUGAUACAUUUAAGAUGCUAGGUAUGAAUUCCCGAAAUUUCACCUAGAUUGGUAUGAAUAAGAUAAAUGCCAACAAAAAUAAACUAAUUAGUUACAACGUAAGAAAUUUGGGAGAAAUGUAAAAUAACACUAAAAACGAAAUGCCUGUUUGGCAUGCUUGACAUCAGAUUACUUGGAAUACAAUGCCAAAGUAAUAAGAUUGUCAUAUUCGGUCAAUUAGACUUGGGCUCUUAUGUUGGUAUAUUUCAGAACUUUGAUUAGCGUGGUCACUGCUUGGUGUUCAAAUUAAUCCAAUUUACAAUUGACUAUCACCUGUGGUUUUGAUGAGAGAGUAAUUUUCUCUUGUGAAAAUUUUAUUCUGAAAUGCUAUUUUUCAUCAACCAUAGAGCACAUAGCAAGCCAUGAUCAGAUCCCAUGAAAUUGAAGCAUUAGGUAUGUUUAAAGAUGUAACAGCCAAUGAAUAUAUAUGAUCAUAUGCACUAGAAAAAAAAAUACAUCAAAGGAAAAAUAACCAUAGGUCUGAUGUGUCUGUCAAAUACAUAACAGUUGAGUGUAAUGUAAGAGAAAUGAAUAUAUGCGCUAAACCAAAUUUUUUCUCACCACAACCAAUCAAGAGCAUGUUCCAUCAUACCAAGAGAAGACUGAAUUUAUUUGUUCAUUUUUCUCAACCAAGAAAUAGAAACUCUUGUUGUUACGGUGAUGGAACCUUAUAAAUAAUACAAUAGUUGCUUUACUUUAUAUUUCAAAAGGCUCAUCUGUUGAGUGGUCUUUGUGCUUGAAUUUCCUUUUCUUUCAUUCUUUAAAUAGAAUGCAUUGUGCUAUCAUUCUGAAUAGUAAACACAUAGUAAUUUAUGGGAAAUUUACAUCUUCAACAUCAUUUUAGGUUAUCCAACUUACCCAAGUAUUAAGGAUAAAACAGAAUACUGAAGAACAUAUUGCUAAUAAAAGAAUUUAUUAAUGAUAAUUUAGUUUCAUUUUUGAUAUCAUUUUUUAUAUAAAUACAAACUCACCACUUCAACCCCAUCAUGAGUGAAUUCCAGAAAAGACCCUACGGCCCUGGCACAAUAAUUAAAAGAUUCAAUUAAGAAAAUACAAGCUAAUCACUUGUUAGCAAAAGAAGCAUAAAAUAUCAAAACUAUGAAUGGAUAAAUACUAAGCAUUACUUGAGCGCAGCAACUCUGACACAGUUGCUUGUCUCAUCCUGCAGGCAUUGAGCUUGCAAAUCUGCGAAAUGUGGCCAAAACGUAUUCCCUAUUGUUUCAGUCAAAGAGCUGAACAGGAUCAAUGCCACCUUAUUCCAACAAAGCAAAACCAACCAUAUAAAUCAGUAUAUUGAAUAUGAACUACAUAACAGCAUGAACAAGAGUGUGCAUUAACUAUUGAAUGAUGUGGAAUGCCCAAUUCCAAAAACAAAUUUUGUCUCCGGUAAACAAUAUUUUGUAGAAUACAGUCUCGCCAACAAAAGAGUUUGGUUGAACAUGCUUCAAGAAUUUUCCUAGAAAAUCCUUUUGCCACUUUUUAUUUUUUUACUUUUGAGAAAGAAAUGAAAUUUCAUUGCAAAUGAUGAUGAAAUUACAAAAGUGAACAAGAUGUUCACAAAGUAAAAACAAAGCCAAAAAAAGAACAAUCAGUGAAACAACAGAAGAAAUCCCCCUAAAAAGCAGCUACGAAAACUCCAUAAAGCUUUAUCCCACUAAGUGGGGUUAGUUGUAUAAAUCCUAGAACACCACUGCGGUCGAUUUUCGCCAAGUCUUCCGUUAACUCCAAGUACUCCAUAUCUUUUCUUAGAGUCUCUUUCUAAGUCUUCCUAGGUCUUCCUCUACCCUUUUUGCCCUCAGCAGCUAAACCUCUGUCUCAUAAUCACAACUUCUAACCGGAGCAUUUAUAGGUCUUCGAUUCACAUGUCCAAAUCACCUUAACCGAUUUUCUCUCAUCUCAUCUUCUAUUAUAUCAAGUCCUACUUUACCUCGGAUAUCCUCGUUCUUAAUCUUGUCCUUUACCGUGUGUCCACACAUCCACCGAAACAUUCUCAUCUUUGUUACACUCAUUUUUUGCCCGUGUUGAUGCUUGACCACCCAAUAUUCCGUGCCAUAAAUUGGAAAGAAAAAAAAAACAGCUUUAAAAUCCCGAAGACAAUAAACAAAUUUUCUCCCAUAACUCCUCUCUGCUACUUCUUUCCGCCCAUAUUACCCAUAAAACAGCCAAAAAAACCCAACCCCCUAAAGUCACAAUUAUUCAAUUUUGCAAAUAAUGCACCAAAGGUUUUGGCUUAACAAACAUUACACCUCCUCUUGUGAGUAAUGUCAUAAGUAUUCACGAACUUUCAGGAUUAAAUAUGGAGGGCAAUGCAGCUAACAUGGGGAACGAUAUAGCGAGCGCAACAAGGAAAAAUAAACGGGCUUCCUUCAGAACACAACGGAAAUUACCUCUCUAUGUUCUUCCUGUGCACUCUGACUACAUUGAAACAGAAAGGGCAACAAAUCCGGCCAUUCUCCAGCCGGGACUGCAUAUUUUGCGACGACACUAACCACAUUGGCACUGGCUCGCCUCACCGGCGGACUGCAUAAACACCACGAAAUCAAUAAGCAAACCAAUUCAAAUACAAAGAAAAUAAAUCACACAGGAGCUCAAGCAAUUAAGCAUCACCCCAAAUAAAAAACAAUCCAAUCGAGAUAAAUUCAGACCUGUGCUCCAUUGUGAUGCUCUCAAUGAGGGACUGCUUAACGAGGUGUUUAAUCUGGGGUGAGAGCUUGGCCCAGUGUCCAGUGAUCUUCUUCCUCAGAAGCACUGCUGCCAAUUGCCUCACGUUCGGCGUCUUGGCGGUGCGGAGGUGCUAUACGAGCGCGGGAACCACCUGAGGGUCCUUGGCCAACCGCUUUAUCUGGUCCUCCGCCUGCCGCCGGGCGUCGUUGUCCGGCAUCAGGAAUUGUAUCAGCAAGAGCUCUAGUGACUGCGACAUGUCGUCUGCUCUAGUCUCUCUCUCGCUCUGUCUGUAUAUCUAGGGUUUCUGGUAUCGUUCGUGCGACGCCGUUUCGGGUGGGGCAAGUUUCCAGCGAAAGGGAAAUGGAGGCGUUGCCUUUUGUUGUAGUGCGAGGGUUUUUUAUUAAGGUUUUGUGGGGAGGGACUCUCUGCUGCUCCCGCCGCCGCUUUGCUUUGGAGUGAAGGCUUUUUAUACGCUGUGGGGACACGCUGGACAGACAAGUAGGUUGUCCCAGGACACUCCCAAUUAAGAGCGGCCUUCUAAUUUUGGUUUGGUAUGCCUUCUUUUUCUCUCACUAACUAUUUGAUGUAAUGUCUGUUGUUCUUGCUCGUUCAGCAAGUUAUAUUGAGAACAUUCGACAGACUCUCAAUAAUACUUAUUAGAUUAUUUCAGCAUAUGUUGAUAUAUAUUGACAUAUAUUGACAUAUAUGUAACAUGGUUUGGUUGACGACAACAAACACAUCAAGUAUUCAAUGAAAUGCCUCAAGAAAGAAAUUGAAAUUGUUUUGCACACUUCAUGCUCUAUUUCUUUGAAAAAAAUAGACAAUUAACAUUGAGACCCGUUAAAUUCAAAACCUGAAUUCGCCACUACUAAAAUCUAUUGUUGCUUAGAUGUGUGCCUAAUAAGUACAAUUUGACACAAAAAUUAAUAAUAGUCAGUGUUUCGAAUUCAAAAAAUUCUCAAAAUAAGAAAAUUAAGAAUCUAAGAAUUUUUCUUUGGACAUGUGGCACAAAAACAAUAGUAAAAUGAGAUUGCAAAAUAUAAAGUAUGACUUGUUACCCCAGGUACUUCACAAAAACAAAGUUAUAUUUAUGCUACGUAAUCAGUUUUAAUAGAUUUUUAAACCAACUUGAUGGUAAUUUUGCCUCAAAAUUUUUUAUCGAUUCACAAAAUUUUGUAAUUACGAUCAGAAGCAUGGAUGAUGUAAAUCAAUAUGUAGCUCUGGUGGAUCGUUUGAAAUUGAUUUUUUUCAUUUGUGGGCUCUCCUGGAGGACCCUGUGCAUUUGGACCAGUCCCUUAUAGUGGUCUUGUGCGAGAUAUGCCGUCCCUUAAUACGUAAUUACUUGGGAAACAAGAUUCCCGAGUGCUUGAGCCUUCACAGAUACCAUUGAUGUCCGAUUAAUUCGUUGGCUGAGUUAUGCAGCAGCAAUACACUGUGUAUAAAUAUAUCUGUUGCAGGAAAAACCUAACGCAAACACUUCUGGUGUCGAGCGGAAAACCCCAUCGACAGUGGGUGCUGGUGAGCUGCCUACAUUUGGGUUGAAAACGAACCCAGAGAGGAAUGUAGUUGCACCCUGCGCCAGCUUAGUGAAACAACUGAGAAAAGCUUAGGUCAACACAUAAACAGUGAGAAGCGCAUGGCCAAGGAAGCAAGACUAAGAGCUCAGCAACUCGACAAGAUCCCUCCGGCAAUGUACUAUCGUCACAAUUUUCUAAGCAUAAAGAGACCGACGGUAUCACAAACACCGUUUUUUGUUGAUGAUUAGUUUUAUUCAGAAUCACGUGUAACAAUUAUCAAUUAAUAACACCACCAACACAUAUGCAAAUCAAAGCAAAAGGGUCGACCCAAAUUAAUAGGCACUGCAUAAAAUAAUAUCCCAAAAGCAGGAGUACAAGUAAAGCAAAUCCAUAUUAAACACAGAAAACUCUACCAUGUAUAUCUGCCAGCCACGAAUGGCAACGAUUGAGCUAUCUAGCUUAAGUAUUCCAAGUCAGACAUAAAUCCAUAAGAACAUGUAAUAUAGCGCGCUGAAACGAAUGAUAAAUCAGAAGGAUGAUAUAUCAUUGCUCAAAAGGGUAGGACUGGGAGGACCCUAAUUGUCCUUAUCUUCAGGGAAGAAGAACUCUUCCCAUAAUCUAGUUUUUUCGAUCUUUUUGUUCGGCUCCGGGCAUUCUGAAGUCCUGUGACCAAUCUCAUCACAAAAGGAACACCAAAGGAUAUUAACACGCCGCCCGUAUAUUUCAUAGCCCUUGCCAACUUGAGUUACGCCGAAGGGGAGACGUCUCCUCCAUGGACAGUGUUCAGGAGCGUGGCCCAACUUAGUGCAUAUUGGACAACUAGAUGGCAAUUCGGAAACUAUGCGUGGCUCGACUAUGCAUUUGGGAAUUUUGUCCUCCUUGAACAAAGCUGGGCUAGUACUCUUCUCCUCUAGUUGGAUUUGAGCCAGUAAGUCUGCAGCAGCCUUUACAUUCUUGAGGUGAAUCGUCGGAGAGUCUUUAACAACCGCCUUUUUUUCUUUCUUCUUCUCUGCGUAUUUGGGAAAAUGUACAGAUAUUACUAACAUUGAUAAGCUAAGUAGGCCAUCCGGAUCCAGGUCCUUAAUUCCGUUAUAUUCUCGAUCUCAAUCAAUCAUUAUAAAUACUUACUACUACGGCUUCACUCUCAAUUACGUGCUACUACUCUGGGUUAAUUUGUUAGGACAACAAAGUUAAACAUGUAUAAAAUAAAUAGCUAUUGGAAAUUAACACUCCCCUACGACUACGAAGUUUUGUUGAAAAUUCUUUCGACAUAAGUAACCGGCCUGGCCAAAUCAAACUGAAUUGCGAUAAUUGAUUGAUUGUGAAUAGAAUAUCAUCUAGCUGGCUACGAAAUUUGGUUGAAAAUUAUCCUCAGUAACCGGGCAGAUCAAUCAUCUUAAUUGACUGUGGAAAUAAUAUCUAGCUAUUAAUAAUUAAACGAAUUAAUUUAUAAAAUAUAGAAAAUAAAAUAAAAUUCUUGGUGCCUUUUAGGGCCUCCAAUUCACUUUCGCAUAGGGCCCUAAAAUCUCAGGGCCGGCCCUGCCUACAACCAUCACUUAACCGAAAAUCCACAAAACUUGAAAGAUCAACGAGGACUCGAAAAUGAAGAAGCUUGCCUUCUUGAGGGCAAGGUGUAUGUACAAUUGUUGAUUAAAAAUACACGCACACCCCCAAAGAAAACACCACCAGUGCACGCAAAUCAAACCAAAGCAAAGCGUCGAUCCAAAUUAAUAGGCAAUGCACAGACAUGAUAGUCCAAUACAUGUGCGAGCAAAGGAAGCCAAAUUAAAUACAGAAAACACCCAACAACAAGGGGUGUAUACAGUGAGUGAAGAGACUAGAAGAACUCUAAGUUCAUUGCAGCAACGACGUCCUCAUAUUAGUGGUUAAUUUGGUAUUGUGAAUUACAUGUUUAUGCAUUCAAUUACGUGCUACUACUCUGGAUUAAUUUGUUAGGACAACAAAGUUAAAUAUGUAUAAAAUAAAUAGCUACUGGAAAUUAAAACUCCCCUACGACUACGAAGUUUUGUUGAAAAUUCUUUCGACACAAGUAACCGGCCUGGCCAAAUCAAACUAAAUUGCGAUAAUUGAUUGAUUGUGAAUAGAAUAUCAUCUAGCUAGCUACGAAAUUCGGUUGAAAAUUAUCCUCAGUAACCAGGCAGAUCAAUCAAGUAUCUUAAUUGACUGUGGAAAGAAUAUCUAGCUAUUAAUAAUUAAACGAAUUAAUUUAUAAAAUAUAUAAAAUAAAAUAAAACACAUAUUUUCAACAUAAGAAGGGAUUUUGAAUUUUUAUGAACAAGGCAUCAAGAACCCUAAUUAAGUUCAAGCUCUGUAACCCUUAAAAUAAUAAAAUAUAUGCAGAUUGCAAUGAGCAUAUGUAGGCCAGUUAUGCUUUUGUAAAUUGGAAAUUACAGAUAAUCUUCCUCGUCACAAACCCUAAAAACGAAAAUUGAAAAGCAAACCAAAAGGACUCCGAAUCUCACCUCGGAGCUUCGUCGAUUGGGUUGGAAUUGGGUUCUUCCCCUUCCCGAAUCCUUGUCCGGCGAGUGACUUGGACUUAUCCUUCGCCUUCGAUGUGCCUUUGGUUCGGCGGUACAUGGUUUUUGUCAUAGAGAGAUUGCGGUUGCAUGAGUUCUUUUUUAUUUUGUUUUGUUUUAGUUGGAUUAUAUGGUAUGCUAAACCUUACUUAAAUACUAAACCUUCAAACUAAAAUUUGACUAUAAUACCCUUCAUAUUUAAUUUGAUUAUCUCCGGUUUUUUGUUUCCUUUUUAGUCUAAUUUGAUCCCAACAUAUGUCGAGAAUCAACACGUGACAAGGAAAAUAACGUCCAUUGAAUACGAUAUAAGUUAUGGAAUAAAAAUAUUUUAACUGAUAAACCAAAAUAAUAUGAAGGUGGCUAAGUUUUCCGCAAAAUAUUUACAAAUAUGAACAACCCAAAAAGAAGCAUAAUCUUUACUUUACUAAGAACCAGAUUGAGGUGCUCAAAAGAAAGUCCCAAAAAAUAAAGUACAAGAUAGGAUAUAGGGGUAACCUAGCACUCCAAAUCUCUGAUAAUUGUACCACUACCCCACCUACGAACCUCUCGAAGCUACUCAUACUUGUUACCUGUAAGAUCAGUGCCUACACCAUCGAAAUAGUACACCGGGCAAACAACAACCCAGAUAAGUUACGAAGCUUGUGUGAGCGAUAAAUAAUACAAGUAUACGAUACUAAUAAUAAAACUAACCACCAUUCACAAUUAUAAACCUUGAAUAUAAAUCAUUUAUAAGAAAUCGCUACCAAACCUUGCAACCUCCGAAGGGGUCACACAUACAUCCAACGAGUUUUCUAAAUCAAAACUCAAAGUUCUCAAAGCCACAUUCACAUAUAUAUUCAAAACUAGAUUUAGAGAGACGUCGUUUGGCCGAAGCCUACGCAAAUAACCAAUUAGGAAGUGGCCCCCCAAAACGGCUCAACCAAGCAAAGCCACCCCUAAGAAAGUAACCAAGAAGGUAGUGACCCCCAUUGCGGAUUACCAAGCAGAGUCACCCCUAAGAAAAUAACCAAAUAGGUAGUGACCCCCCAAUGCGGAUUAACCAAGCAGAGUCACUCCUAUAACUAUUGGAAGGUGAUCACCCGAUGCGAAUUAACCAAGCAUGAUCACCUUUAAAUGUGUAUGGCCAUACCUAGGCUAUAAGGAUCGCCCAACGCGGAUUAACCAAGCGCGAUCCACAAAUAGUAUGGUCCCCUAACGCGGAUAAACCAAGUAGGACCAUCCAGGACCAUUGCUAUGUGGUGCAGACUUAGUGUCACCUAACCCCAUGACACUAGGGUAAUGGUCCUUCACAAUCCAUCAUUUUUAUCAUCCAUCACAUAUAUAUCCCAAAACGCAAUCCAUCAUUUUUAUCAACCAUCACAUAUAUAUACCAAAACACAAUCCAUCACAGUUCAAAUAUCCAAGUCACUUAAUGUUUCAUAAGUAUAUCGACGUUACUAGCAACAAUUAUUUAGCAUCAGAACUAUUUUGAGAAUCCAUAGUAUAACCACAAAGUUUAUUAGCACAGAGGAUUUCAAAGCAAUAACCAUAAUACAUAGAUUAGAACCACUCACCUGAGAUCCACACUAACGCACUCAAACACGAGAGUCAAGGCAUCACGUUCUAUCACCGCCUAACAAGGUACAAACCACAUUUAGAUUUCCUUCGAUAAUUCACAUACUUAAAACUCUUAUAUAUUUCCCACAACAACAUUUAAUAAGGAAUCGAACUGUCAUUUUAAGGUAGGGUCCUUGAUCUUACUGUCACUUAUUCCAUAAUAUCCAAUCACUAGAUUUUCACUUGUAAGUCCCUAAGGUCCAUAAACAUUAUCUACCAUAGCAUACUAAAAGUGGUGUCAAUUCAAUGAUAAGAUCAUCAAUCGCUAGAAUAAUCAAGUGGCGGAGCUUAUCGAUAAAAUACUCAACCAACAACAUUUUUAUAAAUCGAAUGUCACACACCAGAAAAUUUGACUUUCUCAAAAAAUUCUCAAAUUUUACAGGAAUAAAGAUUUCAACAAGUAGAGUAAAUUUUAUACCUGUGGUCGAGUCCAAUUUGGCCAGGAAAGCCCUCAAAUUGGCUCGCACCCAACGAAACCCUAAGGUGGGUGUCCUUAAAUUCGGCUUCCUUGGUGUUCCAACGCUCCAACCACCAGUUGGGUCUUGUUCUUGGGUCCAAGGGAAGUUGAUUAAGGGUGAUGGUGAAUGGUGAUACUCUCCGGAAUGACAAUUUAUCAUCGAGAACCUCCGGGUUCUCCUAUGGAGUUCUACAUGAAAUAAACCUUAAAAACCCCUGAUUUUUGGUAGAAAGGGAAGGAGGAAGGUAGUUGAGCAAGUUGCAGGUGAAGGAGGUAGGAAAAUCAACUGGGAAAUGGAAGAAAUAGCCUGAAAUUGGCCAGUUUGAAAUUUGGCUGUGGACCUCACGUUUUCACGAAUUAGAGGGAAAGAAAGUGCCGUGCCUUUCUUUCCAAAUGGGUCUUUAAUACCCCUUUUUCAAAAAUGAAAACUAAUGAAAAAUGCUUGAAAACUUUGAGUUUUAAUGAUAAGGACAAUAUAAAGGGUAAAGUGAAUAGUACCAGGAUUGACUUUUUAGUGUAAAAAUGUGAUUUUUCGUUAAAGUGAACAGUACCAGGUGCUUUUCGUUAAAGUUCCCUUUUUAAAAAUCUAACAGGUUCCUCGUUUUUUUUUCUCUACUAACUUAACUUAACCUUUAAUCCAUGCUUCUCACAAUCUAUAGUUCACAACUUCAAACAUCCGUAACUAUACCCUUAUAAUUCGGACUUGCAAACAGCUUUCACCUAUGCGUUCGUGGGUUCGAGGCUAUUUAAAAACAGUAGUUGUAACCUCGAAAUAUCGACAAAAGAUAAAGAUUGAUUAUGAACUUUCCAACUCGAUAACUAAUCAAUUACUAAACUUAAAAUUAAUGGAAUUAAAAUUAACUAAUAAAGUUAACAUAAGCGCGAGAUACGAGUUUUAAAAUACAAGAUAUGUAAUAAUUGGUGAAAUUCCGGGGAUGGAAUUUCACACUAUCUCUCCAUUAUUUGUGUGGGCUGGGCUAAUAACAAAGAUAAAUUAACAUUUAACGAACGAAUGAAGCUUGAAUCAAACUUGGAAUUGUUAAGAGAUUUACUAUCAAAUUUCAAACGUGUCUUGCGAAGAUGACCAUGAAUGCAGCAUCUGCAUAAUUGAAAUUUGAACUCUGAAAGGUAAUUGAGUGUUGGAAAGUAGCUGAAGUUUCAUAGACAUUAUCCCCCACCAAAGUUAACGUGUGCCCCAAGCAACCAUUACACACGGACUCAAAACUAAACGGACUCAAAACUAACAAUCGACACAAAAGAAAGAGAAUGUCCAGAUUAACACCUACAACCAGUGCCGGCCCUGAGGGGGUGCAAUAGGUGCCACCGCACAGGCCCCUGAUUUUUCAAAUUUGCAUGCAUUUACACACACACACACACACACACACACACACACACACACACACACACACACACAUAUAUAUAUAUAUAUAGUAGCAUGUGUAGAAUAUUACAAACUUGAGUCUUAGCGCAAGUGGUAUUACUGCUUCUUUACAGCGGCCUAGGAUUUGGGUUCAAAACUCGUCUCCAUCAUCUUUUUAGUUUAUUUUUAUUAAAUACAUAAGCUUCCACAAAAUAAUAUAAAAAUUCCACACAAUAACAUGAAAAUUCAAACCAUGACCCUCUAAAAAGUUAAGGAAAAACUUGUCUAUGGCAUUUAGUACAAUUAUGAACUUUCAAAAACUCAUUAUGUUUAGUGAAAACCUUGAAAACCAUGCAAAACCUUGAAAUUCAUGCAAACCCUAGGAAUAUGGUGUUUACCCUAAAAGAAUUACAACCCUUAACCACAAGAAGCAAGCCUCAAAUUAGCUAUAAUAUUUAGUCUAAUUUACAUCAAGUAACUCAAUUAAUAAUUUUGAUGGUAGCUAAGCGUCAAGAUAAUAAGCACGGUGAUUAAGAAUCCCAUAUUAAAAGGCAAUCGUAAGACAGGCAAAAUGAGAAAACUAGAUUAUCAUAUUAGGGUUUCAUCAUUGCCUAGCAAGGGUGUUUAGUUACACAUAGUCAAAUUAAUAACAAUAAGUCAUGAAAAAGAACAAAUAGUACUCGAAAUAACAACGGUGAUGUGCUCCUAAGCACCCCUUUCUCUUUUGGACAAAUUUGUGUGUAUGGUGACAUGUAGAGAGAUCAUAGGACAUAUAUUUAUACUAAAAAAACACUAAAAGGUCUGGUAAAAGCUCUCCUAGAAAAACAAAAUCCAAAACGAUAUUGGACACAAACUAAGAAACAAUUCUUCUUGACUUGGGAGAACAUGUGAUCCAUCUUUCAUGCUAGAUCUGGGGUCGUUCCAGCUUCAUUUAUGUGGAAUUCUGAAAAAUAGGAAACUUAUAGCUCUAUGUCUAGGCAUAUAAGGCACGACACUUGAAAAAUUAGAAAAGCCUUCAAAUCUUCAUUCUCCCAUAGUUGCACAAUUUUACUGAGAAUGUAACUUUUACGGGAUUGAUUUGCAGAACUGGAAUGUUUGACUUCAUGAAAAAACGUGAAAGUUGAACACAACUAUCUUAAUCCUCUUAGCUUCCUUCCAAUUGACUAUAAAAAAUUCUCCGAUAAGUCUAUUUAUAAAGAAAAAAAUAUCAUAAGUGCACAAAUUGACUAAAUUAAUAAAAAGAAUUUAAAAGACUCUAUAAAGACCAAUUCCUAACGAAUCCUUAAAAAAUAUGAAGGCAUUAUUGGGAGGACAUACUUCUCAUAAAAAAAUAGUCAACCAAAUUUUAACAACAUGAAUAUUUAUACCCUCGAAAAUAACCAUUCUAUUUCCAACGAUAAUAUCGUUUAUCGUUAAGAUGAUCGGGGCCAAGCCUUCCUACCAACUAAAGUACAAUUCGAGCGGCCAUUGGGACUAUUUUUUAAUGCAUUAUGUGUGUCGAAAAAAAAAUUCAUUUCCUUUGACAUGUUUUUUUCUUGUAGUGUAAGGCAAUGUAAGUUUCAAGAACAAAGGCACAGAUGAAAUGUGUUUAACAACCUAACUUAAACUUUUGAUAACUAUAUUUUAUUGAUGUUGUUUGCAUGCGUCGUUUAUUUGGCCUAGGUUUGGAGUAACGACAGAAUAAAAUCUUGUAUGCACAAAGUCGUUUUGAAGGAAACUAAGGUAAGAUACUCGUUCGGACAAUUCUUUUGGAACAAAGGAGUGAUAUAUGUACCGAAUGAGCUUACGGACGAGGACCACCCCAUGCAGUAUAAGCCAAUAGACCUAGUGGAAUAUCUUCAAUAUUAUUAUGAAAAUAUGCACACCGUGGGAUUUGAUUUUUCGGUCAAGGACUAUUGUGGGAAGCAUGACGCCACAAGCAUGAGUUUGAAAGGAGGUGUAGGAAAAUAAUAAUGGAAAGUUUCAUGUACUUAGAUUCACUUUUUCUCGUGGGUUUAGCCUUUGCUUAUUCAAUAAGACGUGUAUCUUGUUCUCUAUAAAUACUUCCAUACGAAGUCUAUCGGAGUUGAACCGAGGUUGUAUUCGUAUCAAAUAAUUAUACUUUGGUAUGCUAGAUUUGUUGUGCUAGGAUAACACCAAACCCGUUGGAACCAACUCAAGCUAACCCACAGGAAAUUUAUCAAAUGAAAUGCAAGAACAAAAUAUUAAAGACACCAAGAUUUUAACGAGGUUCCUCAACAGUCAGUGUAACUGGAGUACGUCCUCGGAGCAGUAGGAGCUCACCCAAUAAUCCACUAUCAACCAAAUGGGAGUUUACAAAGUGUUGGCAAUCUCACAACCCAAAUAACCCAAUACACCCAAUAGCUCUCACACACCACAGAAACAAAUAGAGAAAGAAAUAUAAUGUAUAAUUUCUUCUCUAUACAUAUAGCUCAAAGCUAUUACAACAAUACCUAUUUUUGAUGGAUGAUUGCUAACAAAAGGAAGAGCACUUUCUUCUUCUCUUCAACGAAGGGUUGCUGCACCCUUUCUAUUUUUCUGAUGCACUCCUUUUCUCUGCAGCUCUCUACUCACUCUUCUCUCUUCUGCUCUAAUCUGAAAUUGAGCUCUCCUUUUCUUCUCUAUCUACCGAAACAAAACAAUGACUUAUUAUUUAAACCAAGCCAUCACUUUCGGCUAAUAAAAAACCACAAAAGAAGAAAAAACAUCAUCAUGAUGCCUCCUCAUCAUGAUGUCUUUAUAAUUUUAUAACCAAAAGUUUUUUCUUUUCCUUUUUUUAAUAGCCGAAAGUAAUUGUUGUUUGGCCAUAAUUUAACAAUCUCCACCUUGGCCAAAUUUCGAAAACACCAUGAUAAGCCAACCAACACAAUCAACACAAAAAAAUCACUCCCAAACACUAGUACGAGAACAACUCAUACCGAGCCAAAUGCUCCAAAACUCCUACUGCUCAACGCCUUCUUUAUAUAGGCAUAAUGUGAGCCAAGUUCAAACAGUGAACAAACUUGGCUACAGCAACCUUAGUCAACAUAUCAGCGGGGUUGUCUUUAGUUGGAAUCUUCUGGAGAAUGAUUUCCCCUUCACCAACAAUUUCACGAACAAAGUGAUAACGCACAUCUAUGUGCUUGGUCCUCGCAUGAUGAACCUGAUACUUAGCCAAAUAAAUGGCACUCUGACUAUCACAAUGUACCUCCACCUGCUUCUGAUCAACCCCCAAAUCUCUAAUCAGCCCAUGUAUCCAAAUGGCCUCCUUUAUAGCUUCAGCAACUGCCAUAUAUUCAGCCUCUGUAGUAGACAAGGCAACAGACAACUGCAAAAUGGACCUCCAACAAACUGGUCCUUUAGCCAUAGUAAACACAUAGCCUGUAGUAGACUUCCUUCCAUCUAGAUCACCUGCAUAAUCUGAAUCAACAUAACCAACUGCAAAAUGACUAAUACUAGAGUCAUCCCUCUCAAAGCAUAAACCAACAUCUCGAGUACCAUGGAGAUAUCUCAAUAUCCACUUAGCUGCUUGCCAAUGCUCUUUACCUGGAUUAUGCAUAUAUCGACUCACCAUGCCAACUGCAUGAGCAAUAUCCGGUCUAGAGCAUACCAUUGCAUACAUCAAACUACCAACCAAAUUUGCAUAUGGUAUAUUUUUCAUUUGCAGCUUCUCUUUAUCAGUUUUAGGACACUGUAGAGAACUCAAUUUAAAAUGAGGAGCCAAAGGGGUACUAACCGGUUUGGUUGAAUCAUGAACUCCAAACUUCCGAAUCAACUUCUCAAGGUAUUGUCUUUGAUUCAAACUGACGAAACCCUUUGCUCUAUCUCUAGUGAUCUCCAUGCCAAGGAUCUUCUUCGCUUCACCAAGAUCCUUCAUCUCAAACUCAUUCUUCAUUUGCUUCUUCAAUUUCUCAAUCUCUUCGACAUUCUUUGAGGCAAUCAACAUAUCAUCAACAUAUAUCAAUAAAUAAAUGAAAGACCCAUCUUGCAACUUCUUGAAGUACACACAAUGAUCAUAUUGACUUCUAGAAUAAUUUUGGCCUCUCAUAAAUUUAUCAAACCUCAAAUACCAUUGUCUUGGAGAUUGCUUCAAGCCAUAAAGUGAUUUCUUCAAUUUGCAAAACAAAUUCUCCUUCCCUUUCACUACAUACCCAUCCGGUUGACACAUAUAAAUCUCUUCAUUCAAAUCACCAUGUAGGAAAGCCGUCUUCACAUCAAGUUGCACAAGCUCAAGAUCAUAUUGUGCAACAAGAGCUAACAUAAUACGAAUUGAGGAGUGUUUCACAACUGGAGAAAAUAUUUCAUUGUAGUCAAUGCCCUCCUUUUGUGCAUACCCUUUAGCAACUAAUCUUGCUUUAAAUCUCACAUUGCUUUUCUCAUCAGCAUCUUCCUUCUUGGCAUACACCUAUUUGCAACCAAUAGCUUUCUUGCCCUUAGGCAAUUUAGCUAACUCCCAAGUCUUGUUCUUCAAGAGAGAAUUCAUCUCAUCACCCAUGUCAUUGCACCACCUAUUCUUCUCCUCACUCUCAAUAGCUUCCUCAAAAUUGGAUGGAAUCUCUUCAGUGAUAAUAGGAAGAGCAAAAGCAACAUAAUCACUAUAACGAGCUGGCUUAGUAAUUUGUCUCUUUCCUCUGUUCUUGGCAAUAGACUCUUGAGGUGAAACUUGCUCUUCAACUUGAAUAGAAUCUUCAAGUUCAACUUCUUCAUCCUCAUGGUCUCCCACUUCUUCACUUGUAGUGGCUUCGACAUCAGCGGAAAUAGGAUUUGAAGUACCAGAGGCAACUUUCUCAAGCUCCACCUGUUGGACAUCUUUCACAUUCUUCUCAGAGACUUUGUACAUACUUUCUUCGUCAAAUGUCACAUCUCUACUAAUUACCAGUUUCUUCAUCUCUGGACACCACAACCUGUAACCUUUGACACCACUACUAAAACCAAGAAAAAUAGCCUUUUUGGCUCUAGGAUCAAGUUUAUUUUCAGUCACAUGAAAAUAAGCAGGUGAACCAAAAAUACGGAUAUAGUCAUAAUCAGAAGAAGGUUUUCCAAUCCAUACCUCCAUUGGUGUCUUACCCUGAACAGCAGCUGAGGGUAACCGAUUGAUGAUGUGACAUGCAUAAUUAACUGCUUCUGCCCAAAAUGACUUGCUUAAACCCGACUGAGACAACAUACAUCUAACCUUCUCAAGCAAGGUUCGAUUCAAUCUUUCUGCAACUCCAUUUUGUUGUGGAGUUCCCCGAACACUGAAAUGUCUCACAAUUCCUUCCUCUUUGCAAACUUUAAAGAAAGGAUCGGAUGUGUAUUCACCACCAUUAUCCGAUCUCAAAAUCUUAAUCUUUCUCCCAGUCUGGUUCUCAACCAUUUUCUUCCAACUCAAGAAAAUGCUCAAUACCUCACUCUUGUGCUUCAUAGUGUAAACCCAAGACCUUCUUGAAUAAUCAUCAACAAAGGUCACGAACCAAUGUCUACCACUCAAAGAGGGAGUCUUUGUAGGACCCCAAACAUCCGAAUGCACAUAAUCAAGAAUGCCCUUUGUCUGAUGUACAGCAGUACCAAACUUCACUUUAGUUUGCUUCCCCAAGACACAAUGCUCGCAGAAAUCAAGCUUACAAGUCGUGGCACCUUUUAGAAGACCUUUUUCACAAGCCCUUGUAGAGCUUUCUCACCGGCAUGGCCUAAUCUCAUAUGCCACAAUCUAGUAGUAUCUGAAUCAGAUGUGCCCAUAUUUUCAGAGACUACAGAUGCUUCACCUGUCACAGUGCUUCCCUGCAAUAAAUACAAAUGGCCACAUCUAGGAGCUUUCAUCACAACAAGUGCACCAUAAGUAACUUUCAAUGUCUGUCCAUCUGAAUGAAACCUGAAACCCUUAGAUUCCAAAGUACCCAAAGAAAUAAGAUUUUUCUUCAAAUUCGGUACAUACCGAACACCUGUCAACUCUUUAACCAUGCCAUCAUGCAACUUCAAACGAACUGUACCAAUCCCUUUUGUUGUGCAAGGAUUGUCAUCUCCCAUGAACACAACGCCACCAUCAAACUCUUUCAAGCUUGAAAACCAAUCCUUAUGAGGAGUCAUAUGAUGAGUACAACCCGUAUCCAACACCCACUUAGUAGCACAAUCAAAUGAUGAGGAAGUGGUUAAAGCAAAAUCAGAAAAAUCUGUUUCAACCUCAGCAACAUUAGCUUCAGAACUUUCUUUGCCUUUGGUCUUCAAUUUUGGACAAUCUUUCUUCCAAUGGCCCUUAUUACGACAAAAGGCACAUUCAUCCAUUUCCAAAGGUUUUCUACCUUUAGAGUUUCCUCUAGGUCGAGACUGUGAUUUUUUCCUACUAGAAGAUGACUUCCUCUCCGAUGAUCUACCUCUAACAAAUAAAGCUUCAGAGGUACUAUCAUGAUUUUUAUCUCUAUGCCUCAUUUCAUAAUUCAUCAAGGCAUUUGACACAUCUUCAAAUUUCACAGUUUCUUUACCAUGCAUAAUAGUGGUAACAAAAUGCUCAUAAGAGUCCGGCAAGGAAUUCAACAAUAUUAAGGCCUUAUCUUCAUCCUUAAUAUCCUCAUCUAAAUUUAACAAGUCGGCAAUCAACUUAUUAAAAGCAUCAAGGUGUCUAAUCAUUUUUGUACCUUCUUUGUAUUGGAAGCGGUAGAGCUUUUUCUUCAAGUGUAGCCGGUUCUCUGCAUUCUUCGUCAUAUACUUGUCUUCCAAUUUUUGCCACAACACACUUGCUACCGUCUCCCGCAUCACAAAAUACUUCUGAGUUUUUGCAAGGCACAACCGAAUUGAAGAGCAAGCCCACAAAUUUAAUUUCUCCCAUUCCGACUUCGACAUAGCUUCCGGCUUCUCUCCCAAAGCGGCAAGUAGAUCUUGUUGAGCCAACACAUCUUUGACCUCACAUUGCCACAUCCCGAAGUUGUUUGUGCCAUCAAACUUUUCCACUUCGAACUUUGCAUUUUGCACCGUAGUUCUUGCAAACCCGGAGCUGCUUCCAAAAGGAUUUUCAUCUUGCCCGUCUGACAUCUUUGGCAACUAGACAGUACCCAAGAGCAACUAGUGCUCUGAUACCAAUUGUUGUGCUAGGAUAACACCAAACCCGUUGGAACCAACUCAAGCUAACCCACAGGAAAUUUAUCAAAUGAAAUGCAAGAACAAAAUAUUAAAGACACCAAGAUUUUAACGAGGUUCCUCAACAGUCAGUGUAACUGGAGUACGUCCUCGGAGCAGUAGGAGCUCACCCAAUAAUCCACUAUCAACCAAAUGGGAGUUUACAAAGUGUUGGCAAUCUCACAACCCAAAUAACCCAAUACACCCAAUAGCUCUCACACACCACAGAAACAAAUAGAGAAAGAAAUAUAAUGUAUAAUUUCUUCUCUAUACAUAUAGCUCAAAGCUAUUACAACAAUACCUAUUUUUGAUGGAUGAUUGCUAACAAAAGGAAGAGCACUUUCUUCUUCUCUUCAACGAAGGGUUGCUGCACCCUUUCUAUUUUUCUGAUGCACUCCUUUUCUCUGCAGCUCUCUACUCACUCUUCUCUCUUCUGCUCUAAUCUGAAAUUGAGCUCUCCUUUUCUUCUCUAUCUACCGAAACAAAACAAUGACUUAUUAUUUAAACCAAGCCAUCACUUUCGGCUAAUAAAAAACCACAAAAGAAGAAAAAACAUCAUCAUGAUGCCUCCUCAUCAUGAUGUCUUUAUAAUUUUAUAACCAAAAGUUUUUUCUUUUCCUUUUUUUAAUAGCCGAAAGUAAUUGUUGUUUGGCCAUAAUUUAACAAGAUUCUUGCUAUGCUGUGCUGUGUUGUUUCCAAAUGGAAUCAAUCCAAAAGCCUGUUGUUUCAAAGGAGAUGGUGCUCACAUUCCCCCAAUCUCAAACUGUCGACACAACAUAACAACGAUUUAGUAUGGAAAGUGAUUUUUGCAUGCCAUUUUCACCUCCCGCACAUCCUUUAUUCAUUUCUAACCAUUGGAUUUAACAAAUAGGAGAACCAGGAGCUAAAAUUUAGAGGGGCGUGCAAAAAUUACUCCCCUUUCGGAUUCGGUCAACAUGGGUUAGUUGUCGCUCCUAUCGACUCUAGUUACCAACCAUGGAUUAAUUAGAAUUAGAUGCCUCAUUUUAGAUUGUUCUAAAUUAAACAUCUGUUACUUUUCAACUUUUGAUUAAAGUGCUUUUACUUUUAAUUAAACUUUAUAUUCCAGGUAUAUUCUUAAUUUAAGUAUUUUAUAAAUUCUUUUAAAUCCAUUUCUAUGUAAAAAAAAUGCACUCAAUAAUAUUCAUUAAUUUAUUACCAUUUUUAUGGAAUCUCAUCCCUUCCUCAAUUUAAGGAUUCAAUUAUAUCUACUGGGGUUCAAGAUUAAUUGGAUGAAAUAUAGUUUUUCCAAUUUCCAACUCAACAUUUUAUAUAGAUUAUAAAAAAACAAGAGUUCGUUUAUAAUUAAAAUUGAGAUGUAGACUAGACUGCCUAAUUUCAUGCAACUGAAAAUAAAUUUGAAUUUUUUAACAACUACUUAUAGUAGAAACGUGAACCAAGAGUUUUCACAUUUUUAUUUUUAUUUAAAAUGAGUCUUUAUUCCAAUAAUUAAUUAUUAAGAGUUGACGCAAUGUUUUAAUGUGAAAAGUUAUAUUUUUUUUGGGUUACACAACUUACACAUAACGUACCAUAAGUUUUGUACGUACCAAAAUAUGGAUAAUACAACGUACUAAUAACUUGGUACAUACUAAAUAAAGAAUUGCAUAACGUACCAAAAGCAAGAUUUUAUAACAUACCAAAAUACUAAUACAUACCCAGAUUAAAUUUAUAUAACGUACCAACAACGUGGUACGUUAUAUUUAAUAUAUCUGUUUGGUACGUUAUAUUUCAUAUAUGUGCAUGUUAUAUUUCAUAAUUGUAUGUUAAUAGGAUGUUUAUGUAUUUUAAGAAUUUAAAACAACAAAUUAUUUGAAUAAGAAAAAUUCAUUUUGAACGAAGUAUGAUAAGAUAAGAUAGGAAGUUUGUGAUGAUUUUAGAACAUUUGUGAUAUUAUUUUCUGAACUAGUUAGUUAAUUAAAUACAAUAAAAAUCAUAAUUUUUAAUUAAAAAUUAGUAGAAGAAUGUUUGAUCAAAAGUUUAAAAGUUAUAGAUGUUUGAUUAAAAAAAUUCAAAUUUGAGGCAUCUAUAUCAAAAUGCCCCAAAACAUAAAUUAACCGUACUCAAGUCCCAACUGAAAAUUAGUACAUAUCAAAACACAUUUCUUAAAUAACACAAAAGUAACCUUGUUACUAUAACUGCUGAAAAUCGAAAGCGCCAAUUUUACCGUUGGCAAUUUGAUUCUGCAAGCAAUAACUUGACAACGCUGCGUUACACAUGACGAUAUACUAUGGGUAUGCAUCAUCUUCACUAAUUCUGUGAGGGGAAAGGCGAAAUUUUCAAACCUAUGGAAACCCGACAGCGGACAACCAUGAUACUCAAACAAAUAAUAAAAUCACGCACAUAAAAGUAUCAAAGAAUGCACACGAACGCUCCAAGCAGACCGGAGAAUGGAAAGAAGAUUCGGGGGGAAAAAGAUACCACAGGAAAAUAAGGAAGAAGAAGAAAAAGCAGUAUCACCAGCCUUGAAAAAUGGAGGUGGUAAUAGGAGGAGGAUCACCUGUAAGAAUGAACAAAAACACGUAUAGAAGGUUAAUGCAAUUUGCAAAUUAGGCUUCAAAGCCUCAUAGGGCAUUUGCUACUUUUCUCACCCUAGGUCGCAGGCAUUACCUUAUAGAACGAUGUCCUCCUCCAAGACUUCAGCCAACCCAUCUAUAAAACCUGGGAACAACACACCACCGUCUUUGAAUUGGAAAAGAAUCUCAGCAAAAAAGGCGGGUAGAAACUAUUGGUGAGGAAUCACAAUCCACAGGCCCAAUCGAACAGCUUCCUGGAGCAAAUGCAACGAGAAGGCAAGUCACUGGCUCACCCCGAAUCAGCUUUUCGGGACAAAUGCAGCUAGGGCAUUUGCAUAAGCAGGGGAGAGGUUACUCAAAAGGGGCUGCAUUUGUUGGCCAUAGAGUGAAAUCAGGUGAGCAAAAGCUCUUCCGAUUUGUGCUUUUACUUCAGGAGUUUCAACUGGUGAUGCCACAACUUGAGCAAAUACAUUAACCAGAUCUGGGACUAGAGAAAGGAUCUGCUUGGAAAAUAGAAUGAGUGGGUAAGAAAACUUAUGGUCAACUCCAUAAACAAAAAGGAUAAGAAAACAAGAAAAACAGAAAAGACCAAGUAAGUUCACCUUCUAGGAUUACCCUAUACACAGGGAGCUUCCAUAGAGGGAUCCCACAUAGUUUGUAUGAUACGUACACACAUAUUAUAAAUGUGUGUGUGUAUAAAUGAUAUAUAUCUUAUCAUUUUAAUCUACACAAGUUUCAGACUGAAAUCAUGGAGCUGUGAACUAACCUGGGCAUUAGAUGAUAAAACAAGAGUAGAGACGCAACUAUACACCGUCAUGGACUCUUCACGAUCUUCUUUUAGUGGAAGAACCUUCAAGAAAACAGGAAGUACCUGCAAAUUUAACAAGGAGAUAUAUACUUAAGCUCACCAAAACGAAACCAAAAUGAUGGAAAACUGAUAAUACUAAAGCAGAAAAUGUCAGCAGGACACUUACCUGAUUCAAUGGGAUAGAUUCAGGGUGCACCAUUAUCAUUCUUGCCACUGCACCAGCUGCGUUAUCCCUGACAGCAUCAUCUGGCUCAGAUUCCCCAAAUAGUGGGUAAAGUCCACGCAAUAUAUCACCAUAGUAUCUGGGAAUUGAUUAAAGAACAAGCUAGUGGAAGGCACAUUCUAGGUUUCAAUGCCAAACUAACUUCUACAAACAACAUAAUUUUAAAGAUGAUUCAUCACAAAUCCUGUAAUACCUGAACUCAGAACACGAAUCAGAGGAUCACAAAAAUUCCAAAGAAAAAAUCAGGAACAGGGAAAAGACAUUAAAAAGUCUUAACAUAAAAAAAAGGAUACUUCAACGUCCCCUCACCCCCAUUUUUGCACAGCUCUCCAACACAAAAUGCAGCAUUCCUUCUAUUGGUUGCGUCUGAGGAUGCUAGUUCUUUGAUUACCAAGGGCAUCACCCUCUGAAAUCAGACACAAAUUUCAGAAACUAGCUUAAUGUAUUCUCGAACUUAAUGUACAUCCUUAAUUUAUAAAAGAAUAAUGUAUAAAAAUUUUGAUAAAAUUACAUCGACAUAUCCAGCAAUUGGAGCACCCAUGUCUUGAGCAACUUCAGCAAGGCAGGCAACAACCAUUGUCCGAUCUUGCAGUGGCUGCGAUGCUCUGAAUACAACAAUAGUUAAAUUAGCAAAAUACCUACCGUAGGAAAUCGCUAGCAAGGUAUUGCAACUAAAUUUGAUAUAAUGUUUAUGCAACCCACCGCAAAUUUCAUUAAAGGUUCAAAUAGCGUAGCAAAAAUAGGUGCAAAAUGAGGACCCAUUGACUUUGCAAAAGCAGGAAGAAGGUCAGAAACUGCAUCCAUAAGUUCUUCAUCAUGUACAACAUCAUCAUCAUCAAUUUCAUCAUCAGAUUCUGUCUGCUGACAAGCUGAUUCCUCCCGAAGCAGUACCAAAGUAGCAUCAACAACCCGUGGUACAUCUGAUAUCGGAUGACAGCAUUUUAUCAGCCUUUAGAAAUUGCUUCAACAAAGAGGACAACACCCAACUAUAAAUUAUACUUACAAGGCUCAACAGCCAUAUAUCCAUAAUCUUUGAUGAUAUCAGCAAGGCUCAUACAAGCUUGAGCAACAACUUCCUUGUCAUCAUCUUCAGUCAUAGUCUUGAUAUAAGUGUUCAUCACAGUAUCUGCAGUGAAGAGUUUGAUUUUAAUGUUAACAGAAAACCAGGAUGCGGACAGGUACAUAUAUCUUCCGUUUUUCAGGUCAAUCUUACCCAGAAUUUCCUUAGCCCUUGCUUGUCCUUCCUGCAAAACAAGAACACAAGUAAACUUAGUACCAUAUUUUGAUACCAACUAACUCCAAAUAUAAUCUCAACUAUAAACAAAGUGGCACCAAAGAGGAGGCUCCAAGAAGCACAUUAGAGUACAGAUGAAUAGGCAACAAACAAGUUUGCAAAACCAAAUAACAGGGAUCAUGACAUGCACUGCACACUUGCAUGUGGAGAGAGAGAGAGAGAGAUGACGGCCACUAACAUUAUGAUUCUGGUAAACUGCCUGUGCUGCUGUUAAAAUAUCUGUAUUUGAAAUCAACCAAACAUAGUUGUUAAUGGACAAGUGAUAUUAAAUAUCAUAAAAUCUACAGAAAAGCAAGACUAUACUCAAUAAAAAUUAUCCCUGUAGCACCAACUCAUCCACAUUUCCAAUAUAAUUCAAAAUAAGUAUACUUUGACAGACAGCAUGCAGAUACAGACAAUAAGUUUGAACUCACGUUUCAGAGAAAUGAUUGCCUGAAGCCGAACAUCUUCAUGAAAAUACCCUGAGUGUCGUACUAGGAUCUUAAAUGAUUCCUCCAAAUAGCUUAAAAGAAGUCAAAGAUCCCAAAAUAAUAUCUUAUUGAUUAACAUUGUAUAUCCAUAAACUUAGAAUAUAACCUAAAAAUCAAAUAAAAUUAGAUGUUGGAUACGGUGCAUAUGAGGCCUUCGUAUGUAGUGCAAAUAAGCCAAGAGCUUGAGUUGCAGCUGCCUUUUCAUCUAAAACUCCUGUUCUUACGCUGAUAUUUCGUACUCUUGGCUCAUCAUGAGCUUCAUCAUCAGAUGAAACUCCACCAAAUCCAUUAAUAUUUUCAUCAUCAGACUCAUCGAUGUCCACUGCAGCUCCAUCAUCAAGAUUGCAGGAAGAAAACGCCAGGGGUACAACAUGAGGAAGAUACUGUUUUCAAAAGAGGGGAAAAACUCAUGAAAAACGGGCAACAAGUGAACAAUUACAUUAAGCGUAACCCAACUAAAGCCUUCCAUACCUGUAUAAAGCUGUCAUCCAAAAUUUCUACCACAUUGCUAAAGAAUCCAUGAAUAUACUCCCGAAGUUCACUGAAAUCCAAUCCAAAACCCUGUGAUAACACUAGACAUGUUAAUUAACAUCAUUGAGACAAAAUGAUCAAAGGAAAGAGGAAAUGUAAUUACAGAAAUUGCAGCUUCUAUAUAAGGGGGUAAAAUUGGUUCCAUCCUAGUUCUCCCCACACACAUUGCAACAAUUCCAACUAAUUCAGUAGCUCUUGCUCGUGAACGAAGAUCCUCAUCAUUACUAAGCACCAAGAAACUUUUCAUCAACUCCAAAACCCUUUCAGCAUACGGAA
rnacentral:lncRNA from 1 species